UAAGGGCUUGACUGUGGGCUCAACAGGAAGCAACAUGACCCUUUCACUGGAAGAUCUCUAAAAGUCAGACCAGUUCCACUACAGAAGACUCCUUCAGCUUCCUGCUGGUUGGUGGGGGUAUUCUACGAGCCUGCUUUCUCUUAAAGGAAUUAUUCUGUUAUCAGCUCCACACCCCAAUCCUGACCGCCUUUGUUUCUAUUCUACCUGAAUCUGGGAACACUCUGCCCAGUUUCUCCCAGAAAAUAAAACUCCAAUCUCCUUGGGAGAUUCUAUGACCAUACGUACAAUUUUAGCCCAAGCAUGUCUUUUUGGCUUUGUACCCAUCAGAUACCUGAUGUUUCCAGUGCAGAAUCUCUCAGGGGUUUAUUGGGCAAUCUAGCUCAUCUGUGUUGCUGCCCGCCCUGUGCCAGCAGAACCAUUCAAUUGGAAUAGAAAUCAAGGGAUCAUUAAAUUCAUCCUUCUGCAUUCAGAUUCAGAAAAGCCUGAAUUUGCAAAAAGUUUGUUUCGAUCAUCAUAGGCAAGGUGAAAUAGAAAGUCGAAGAAAUCAUCUCGGUCAUUACGAGUCCUCAAGUAGUUGCUUUUUGUACUUUGAAUAAAGACUUUAGUCAUAGUAGGAGAGAUAGACUGUAAUGGACUUACUUCACGAUGGCUGCACCAGAGGUUCCAAGAACGAUGGCUUUCAACUUCAACCCACAUCUAAAACACACCACUGUAGCCACACCCUACACCCUGUGGUUAUCCAGUUGUGAGUCCUAUUGGAGAGAUGAGGAAGAAUAUCAUGAAUUUAGCUGGUAUUAGAAAGUAGAACUUGGAAAAUAGAGUGUAACUGGAAAAUGAAGGGACUUAACUGAGACAAACAGCCUCUUCUUAUCCAUUUUUAAAAUGUUCAGAUUUAACUAGAUGACCAUGACCAUGAAGAACUUCUCAAGCUCUUUGGUUCUACAGGUGUAUGACAGUUUCCUGGAGGGGGUCAUAUGGAUCUACUACUACCUUCCCACUGACAUUAGGCAGAUGUUCAUUAGAUUGGUUUGAUAGAUGUAAUGGUUAAUAUUGAGUGUCAACUUGAUUGGAUUGAAGGAUGCAAAGUAUUGUUCCUGGGUGCGUCUGUGAGGGUGUUGCCAAAGGAGAUUAACAUUUGAAUCAUUGGACUGGGAGAGGCAGACCCACCCUCAAUCUGGGUGGGCACAAUCUAAUCAGCUGCCAGCAUGGCCAGCAUAAAAGCAGGCAGAAGAAUGUGGAAGGAGUAGACUGGCUCAGUCUCCUGGCCUACAUCUUUCUCCCACGCUGCAUGCUUCCUGCCCUCGAACAUUGGACUCCAAGUUCUUCAGUUUUGGGACUCUUGAACCUUUGACCACAGACUGAAGGCUACACUGUUGACUUCCCUACUUUUGAGCUUUUAGGACUCGGACUGGCUUCCUUGUUCCUCAGCUUGCAGACGGCCUAUUGUGGGACCUCACUUUGUGAUCAUGUGAGUCAAUACUCCUUAAUAAACUCUCCUUUAAAUAUACAUCUAUCUUGUUAGUUCUGUCCCUCUAGAGAACCUUGACUAAUACGAUAGGGAAGCCAUAGUGACUGUCACUAAUAUUCUAAUAAAAGAAUUAUUAUCUAUGCCAACUCUGGAGAGCCACAGGUAAGCUAUACAUAGAUCAAAGUGUAAACCAGGGGUUCUCUGAGUGUGAUUCCUGGACCAGCAGUAUGUGGUGACAUUUGAAAUGCAAAUUCUUGGGCCCCACCUCAGACCACUGAAUUAGAAACUCCAGAGGUGGAGCUCAGCAGUUUGUUUUAACUAGUUCUCCAGGUGAUGCUGAGGCACAUCACAGUUGGAAAUGGUGAGGUAAGUAAGGAAUUUCAGCAGUUCAACUGCUGAAAUGUAGAUCUUAACAAAGUGCUAAAUGAAUAGAGGAAAAAGGGAUAAUUAUCUGAGACAUUUGGAUCUUGUUUCACGAAUAGGAGUUCAGAUGAAGUUAGGGAGGUCUUUUGAAGUAUAGGAAACAAGACAUGCAAAGACUGGGGAGGUUAGGAAGACCAGACCUAUUUCAAGAUAUACAAUGGCCUAGUGGGGCUUGAGGUAGCAGGGUGCAUUCUUUUUCUUAGAUAUGCUUCCUCCUCUCUGCUCCAUGGUGCCACACAUGAUGCUGGUGAUAAAGGAGACUGAGCGAGGGUAAAGAUUCACAGUGCCAGCAAGGGCUUGGACAUUGGCAGCCUAUGGAUCAAAUUGUGCUUGCAGAUGGGCUGUAUUUGGUAUUUUAUUGUACAAACACUAUGUAUUUGGCAUAGCAUUAUACAAAUAAAUGUGAACUAACAUUUAAUAAUCAGUUUGGAUGUAUAUAUGUGUAUAUAUAUUAUGUAUAAAUAACAUAUAUGCUAACACAAAAAUAUAUGUGCUAUAUUUAUAUUCUAUACAAAUAACAUAUAAAUAUAUGUUAACAUAUAAAAAUAUAUG
rnacentral:lncRNA from 1 species